GUACUUUCUAGACUAUGACGGGUAACGAAAAAUAAGGGUUUGAUUUCGGAGAAGGAGCCUGAGAGACGGCUACUACAUCUAAGGAAGGCAGCAGGCGCGCAAAUUUCCCAUUGCUUAUCAUUUUAUGUAAGCGAGGAAGUGACGAUCAAUAACAAUGUGUGACUCUUUAUGGGUUAUGCAAUUGGAAUGACUACAAUUUAAAGAGUUUAAGAAGGAUCAAUUGGAGGGCAAGUCUGGUGCCAGCAGCCGCGGUAAUUCCAGCUCCAAUAGGAUAUAUCAAAGUUGUUGCAGUUAAAAAGCUCGUAGUUGAAUUUCUGGAAGGUAGAAGGUUUUUUUUAGAGGAGCAAUUUUUUAUAAAAGACACCGCUUUCCAUUUUGUGGAUUUCUGUUUUGUAUAAAGAUAGUUUACUCUAUUUUUAUAUAAAAUACCACUCCGUCACUGAGGGCAAAUUGGAGUGCUCAAAGCAGGCUUUAUUAGCUUUGAACAUUUUAGCUUGGAAUGACAAGAUAUGACUUUUGUUUUAUUUUGUUGGUUAUGAAAUAAAAGUAAUGAUUAACAGGAACAGUUGCGGGGGUACUCGUAUUGAAAGGUCAGAGGUGAAAUUCUUGGAUUCUUUCAAGACGAACGACUGCGAAAGCAUUUACCAAGGAUGUUUUCAUUAAUCAAGAACGAAAGCUCGGGGAUCGAAGAUGAUUAGAUACCAUCGUAGUCCGACGCCAUAAACGAUGCCGACUCGGGAUUAUUUUGUUUGUUUAAAAUAAAAAAGAACACAAAGUAGCACCGUAUGAGAAAUCAAAGUCUUUGGGUUCCGGGGGGAGUAUGGUCGCAAGGCUGAAACUUAAAGGAAUUGACGGAAGGGCACACCAGAGGUGGAGCCUGCGGUUUAAUUUGACACAACACGGGGAAACUUACCAGGUCCAGACAUGAUGAGGAUUGACAGUUUGAAAGCACUUUCUUGAUUUCAUGGGUGGUGGUGCAUGGCCGUUCUUAGUUGGUGGAGUGAUUUGUCUGGUUGAUUCCGAUAACGAACGAGACGGGGUGAAUUUACUAGUUUGUUAUAUAAUUUACGUUAUAUAAGACUUCUUUAUUCGACAACUUGGUUUUACCAAGAGGAAGCGCCCCGCAAUAACAGGUCUGUGAUGCCCUUAGAUGUUCUGGGCUACACGCGCGCUACAAUGACGAAUUCAACGAGUUUAAAUUUAUUCCUUAUCCGGAAGGAUGUGGGUAAUCUUUUCAAUAUUCGUCGUGAUGGGGCUAGAUUUUUGCAAUUAUUAAUCUUCAACGAGGAAUCUCUAGUAUGUGCAAGUCAUCAGCUUGCGCAGAAUGCGUCCCUGCCCUUUGUACACACCGCCCGUCGCACCUACCGAUUGGACGAUCCGGCAAGAUGUUUGGAGUUGUUUUGAUUGUAGAGUAAUUUAUGAUGAAAAUGACAAAGCUCUUCAAACCUUAUCGUCUAGAGGAAGGUGAAGUCGUAACAAGGUCUCCGUAGGUGAACCUGCGGAG
rnacentral:rRNA from 1 species